UGCAGUAGCUCAGCUGGUAGAGCACUGGACCCAUGAUCAAAAGGUUAUUGGUUCAAUGCACACCUAGUCCAGCCUGAUCAG